UGACUUUGCUCAUGUUACGGUGAGGUUCUCCUCCUGUCCCUAACAUGGCCGUGGGGGCGCAUAAGGGCGUUGUAGGGCCUCUCCCCCCAUCCGGUCUAAAAAAAUCGGGCCUUUGACUUUGCUCAUGUUAGGGCGAAGUUCUCCUUCUGUCCCUAACAUGGCUGUGGGGGCACUUAAGGGCCGUUAUAUGGGCCUCUCCCC
rnacentral:lncRNA from 1 species